rnacentral:rRNA from 1 species
ACGGGAGGCAGCAGUGGGGAAUAUUGGGCAAUGGGCGAAAGCCUGACCCAGCAACGCCGCGUGAGUGAAGAAGGCCCUCGGGUUGUAAAACUCCUUUACCAGGGACGAAACAAAUGACGGUACCUGGAGAAAAAGCAACGGCUAACUACGUGCCAGCAGCCGCGAUAAUACGUAGGUUGCAAGCGUUGUCCGGAUUUACUGGGUGUAAAGGGCGUGUAGGCGGAGAUGCAAGUCAGAUGUGAAAUCCCGGGGCUCAACCCCGGAACUGCAUUUGAAACUGUAUCCCUUGAGUAUCGGAGAGGCAAGCGGAAUUCCUAGUGUAGCGGUGAAAUGCGUAGAUAUUAGGAGGAACACCAGUGGCGAAGGCGGCUUGCUGGACGACAACUGACGCUGAGGCGCGAAAGCGUGGGGAGCAAACAGGAUUAGAUACCCUGAUA